rnacentral:rRNA from 1 species
AACGAACGCUGGCGGCAGGCUUAACACAUGCAAGUCGAACGGACGUAGCAAUACGUUAGUGGCGCACGGGUGAGUAACACGUGGAUAUCUGCCUUUUGGUUCGGGAUAACCCUGGGAAACUAGGGCUAAUACCGAAUGGUUCCUACGGGAUAAAGAUUUAUCGCCAAAAGAUGAGUCCGCGUCCGAUUAGCUAGUUGGUGAGGUAAUGGCUCACCAAGGCGACGAUCGGUAGCUGGUCUGAGAGGACGAUCAGCCACACUGGGACUGAGACACGGCCCAGACUCCUACGGGAGGCAGCAGUGGGGAAUUUGGACAAUGGGCGAAAGCCUGAUCCAGCCAUGCCGCGUGCGGGAAGAAGGCCUUCGGUUG